rnacentral:ncRNA from 1 species
UUGCGCAAGGCAUGCUUCAACACCACGGCCCUGAACCGCAAACCCUUGAGCCGCGCCGUGCGGAUAUAUUGGGCCGUCAUCACCUCGACCAUCGAGGCACGUGUCAUGCGCGCGAUAUAGCCCAUGCCGUAAAUCGCCAGCGUCAUCACCGGCAGGGUGAAAUUGACGAAAGUUAUGCCUCUGGA